rnacentral:pre_miRNA from 1 species
UUUCUACUCCCUCCGUCCGAAAAUACUUGUCAUCAAAAUGGAUAAAAAGAGAUGUAUCUAAAAUUAAAAUACGUCUAGAUACAUUUCCUUUUAUCCAUUUUGAUGACAAGUAUUUCCGGACAGAGGGAGUAUUUG